UUUUAUUCGUAGUAAAAUGUGCAACGCCUUUAAAUAGUUUGAAUUUGACGUAGUUUUGUAGCCCAACCAAUCUAUCUCCCAGUGGAUAGUGAGCUGACUGAAGAAGAAGAAGAAGAAGUGGACAGGGAGCAACUGCAACCAAGAGUGGGAAUAUUCGCACUCAAAGGCGAGCAUUUAUUGGAUUUCUGUUAAUUGCGAUUGGCAGUGUUGGAAAAUGUGCCAUAGACGCACGUACACGUCAAGCUUAACGAGCCCAGGACACGCCCAGGACAUAACCAAAGUGUAUUUUGCCAUUUAUGAAGUGUGCGGGCCAAGCCUUUAACUGUGCAGUCAUAAAAGCCGCUGAUUGAAGGCAUGCGACGUGUCCAUAUGGCCAGGAGUUGAACUGGAACUGAAGAGAAUUGAGCUGAACUGAACUGGAGUGAACUGAACGGAAUGCUGAAACUGGGUUGGGCCAUAAUCGUGUACAAGGCUUUAAUUGAAAUCUCGCCGGGCAGUCGUUAGUUUUUCUAUGGCCAUUUCGAGUACGUGCUUCACAGUGAGUAGAGUUACCACUGCCACUCCACCUGGCAUCGUUGCUGCCACUUGAGCAACAGCGGGUGGGAGGCAAACAGACAUACAGACAUACAUAAGAAGUGACCACAGAGAGUGGAGGAAUGCGGGCUGUGAAAGGGGGGUGGCACAGACUGCUGGCUGUGUCUUUGAAGUAUUUUUAAAUGCUGUGUAAUUAGCAAGCAGCAAUCUUUUACAGCGCUGAAUGCAACCCCAAAAUUAUAACGGAAAUAGCCUGAAACUGCAGCCCUUUAUCCUUUCUCCCUCACUCUCUCUCUCCAUCUCUCUUUCUUCGCGGUCUUAUUAUUGUCAAAGCCUUGGGGCGGCGUCAGCGCCUUUGCUGCUGUAGUAAUCUCAAUUUGAGCAUCGCACAACACACACACAUACACGCCAACACCUACACUCAGUAAGAGGAGCUGUUCACCAGCUUGUGGCAAGUGCAUUUCGUUAAUUAGUGUGGAUGAAAAGGCAAUGGAAGGCAAACAAAAGACCGAGACCGAGACUGAGUCUGAGACUCUAACUUGGAAAUUUGAGACCUCUAAUGCCGCCAACGUCACCAACGUCGUCGUCGUCGUCACACACCAGGCAAGAGCUGCGAGUGUUUAUUUUGUGUGCCACUACAUAGCACAGUGGCGCCACCUAGGCUACGUAUAGACAAACAAACACAUGCCAUUAAAGAAGGUGUUUCUCUAAGUGCUGCAAAUUGUAAUGACUGAACUACUUUAAAUGGAUCUAAUGGCCUCUUAAAAUUCCGCAUAUUCAAGUAAUUUUAGAAACAUUCGAAAUCGUUUUAGUUAGAAGAACACCCUUUAUGUGCCAAGUGACUGCAGGAAUAAUAUGCGUGGGGGUGUAAAAUAAAGUAGAAAUAAAAGUCAGUUGCAAAACAGACUUUGGCAAGAAGUUCAAAUGAAAUUCGAGCUGUUAAAAGUGCCAACAACAUUGCAACAAUGCCAACUGCCAACUCUUUGCUUUUAAAUGCCUUUUGAUAUAACUAGUGCACACCUGACGUCAUCCAUAUAUACAAGAGCUAUAGAGUAGCAUAGUAAAUCUAUAUGCAAAUGAUGACACCAGACGUGAAUCUCUAGAGCAGACGUCGGGGUGAAGUACGUCUUGAACUUACCACGAAGUUCAAGCGCAUUACAAAGUGAAGAAGUGUGAACUAUGCGGAAGCCACAUGAAAUCGUGAACAAAAAAUAGUUGAACUUACAGGUUGCAACUUUUAGCAUUUAAUUUAAUUUAAUUUGUGUUUCAGUUACAUUUCAAGG